GACGCAGGAACAAGGAAACACAACAAGGACACUAAAUUGGACAGCUAUCUUUGGUCACAAAAUGAAAACAAGAAGAAAAUAAAGGGAGCAUUGUCAAAACGCAGAAGAGCCUCGAGAGAGGUGGACCAGAGGCAGACCAGUGGACCAGUGGACCAGAGGCAGACCAGUGGACCAGAGGCAGACCAGUGGACCAGAGGCAGACCAGUGGAGCAGUGGACCAGAGGCAGACCAGUGGAGCAGUGGACCAGAGGCAGACCAGUGGACCAGAGGCAGACCAGUGGAGCAGUGGACCAGAGGCAGACCAGUGGACCAGAGGCAGACCAGUGGACCAGUGGACCAGAGGCAGACCAGUGGACCAGAGGCAGACCAGUGGAGCAGUGGACCAGAGGCAGACCAGUGGACCAGUGGACCAGAGGCAGACCAGUGGACCAGAGGCAGACCAGUGGACCAGUGGACCAGAGGCAGACCAGUGGACCAGUGGACCAGAGGCAGACCAGUGGACCAGUGGACCAGAGGCAGACCAGUGGACCAGUGGCAGACCAGUGGACCAGUGGCAGAACAGUGGACCAGAGGCAGACCAGUGGACCAGAGGCAGACCAGUGGAGCAGUGGACCAGAGGCAGACCAGUGGACCAGUGGACCAGAGGCAGACCAGUGGACCAGUGGCAGACCAGUGGACCAGUGGCAGAACAGUGGACCAGAGGCAGACCAGUGGACCAGAGGCAGACCAGUGGAGCAGUGGACCAGAGGCAGACCAGAGGACCAGAGGCAGACCAGUGGACCAGUGGACCAGAGGCAGACCAGUGGAGCAGUGGACCAGUGGACCAGAGGCAGACCAGUGGACCAGAGGCAGACCAGAGGACCAGAGGCAGACCAGUGGACCUGUGGACCAGAGGCAGACCAGUGGACCAGAGGCAGACCAGUGGACCAGAUGCUGGACGUAGAGACCCGUUAUGACUGGUGCGGAGAGCAGGGGGGGCCGGGUGGGAGGAGACAGGACGGGUCCCCCCCGGCUCCCGCUGGGCUGGUCCCCCGCCCCUCCCCCCUGAGGGGCGGGGCGUCGCAGCAGUAG
rnacentral:lncRNA from 1 species